CCUACGGGCGGCAGCAGUGAGGAAUCUUGGUCAAUGGGCGCGAGCCUGAACCAGCCAAGUCGCGUGAGGGAAGACGGUCCUAUGGAUUGUAAACCUCUUUCGUCGGGGAGCAAAAGACGCCACGCGUGGCGUUCCGAGAGUACACGAAGAAAAAGCAUCGGCAAACCCCGUGCCAGCAGCCGUGGUAAUACGGGGGAUGCGAGCGUUAUCCGGAUUCAUUGGGUUAAAAGGGUGUGAAGGCGGAAGAUCAAGCCAGCGGUAAAAUUGAGAGGCUCAACCUCUUCGAGCCGUUGAAACUGGUUUACUUGAGUGAGCGAGAGGUAUGCGGAAUGCGUGGUGUAGCGGUGAAAUGCAUAGAUAUCGCGCAGAACUCCGAUUGCGAAGGCAGCAUACCGGCGCUCAACUGACGCUCAUGCACGAAAGUGUGGGUAUCGAACAGGAUUAGAUACCCCUGUAGUC
rnacentral:rRNA from 1 species